ACCUCGACGCCAAGUGGGACGCCUGCCUCGACCUCUCCAUCCGCCGCGUCGCCUACUCCUCCCUCGCCGGCGCCUUCGGGGGCCUCAUCCUCUUCCGGUUGCGCGGAAAUGAUGCCCGUGCUCCAUCUCGAUCGGUGGUGGCCGCCGUGGACACCCGCGGCUAUGACGAACCCCGCCGCCAGGAGGCCGCCAUGGAGGCCCGUCCCGAGCUCGCUUCGCCGCUCCUUCAGUGACCCUCGUUGCGCCUGGAUCCGGGCGGAUCCGACGAUUCCCCGACGCGCAGGCUAGCUUGUAGCUAGCUAGCUUGUAUAUAUGCGUUUCUGCUUCUCCAAAAUGGCGAAUUUACUACAUAUCUCAUUUUAGUACUGGACUGGACUGCCGUGCAGGUGUAGUCAAGAUCCCCCCCUUUGACCAGUAACCAACGAUUCCAUAGCUGCUGCUUGCCGUGAGGGAUGGCCGGAAGCGGAAGCAGCCUCUGCCUGUGGCUACUUGUUGCACUCCCUGGGAUAUUCGUCUCCGUCUCCGUCGAGGCCAGCCGGGGAGAUGCUGAUCCGCACUACAGGGCCAUUAGAACAUGUAACUUGAGUCGUGGAAAUCCGAAUGUGGUUAUUUAUAUCAGAGUAGAUGCUACUGUGACAUGGGCAUGCACUUCACUCCAGUGAAGAUGUAAU